GAUGAACGCUGGCGGCGUGCCUAAUACAUGCAAGUCGAGCGAACAGACGAGGAGCUUGCUCCUUCGACGUUAGCGGCGGACGGGUGAGUAACACGUAGGUAACCUACCUAUAAGACUGGGAUAACUUCGGGAAACCGGAGCUAAUACCGGAUAAUAUUUUGAACCGCAUGGUUCGAUAGUGAAAGACGGCUUUGCUAUCACUUAUAGAUGGAUCUGCGCCGUAUUAGCUAGUUGGUAAGGUAACGGCUUACCAAGGCAACGAUACGUAGCCGACCUGAGAGGGGGAUCGGCCACACGGGAACUGAGACACGGUCCAGACUCCUACGGGAGGCAGCAGUAGGGAAUCUUCCGCAAUGGGCGAAAGCCUGACGGAGCAACGCCGCGUGAGUGAUGAAGGUCUUCGGAUCGUAAAACUCUGUUAUUAGGGAAGAACAAAUGUGUAAGGAACUGUGCACGUCUUGACGGUACCUAAUCAGAAAGCCACGGCUAACUACGUG
rnacentral:rRNA from 1 species